GGCCCUUCUCACACCUUUCUCCUUCGCAGAGCCUGGCUGCUCAGGCCUCUGCCUGAUGGGAAGGAGUUGAAACUAUCCAGAGGUCAGGACAUCUCCUGAAGUCAACCAUUUUCAUGGAAAGUGGAGGGUAGAGAGCGGAGGGUGCAGACUCUACCACUGCCGCAAUUUCAUAGGUCAUUGGGAUCCCUGGUGGCGCCAAUUAUUAACCGCAUUGAUGUGCUGUGAAGGAAGUGCCUUCCGCUUUCGGUGGGGCACAGCAGCUGGGUGAAGCCAGGUCAGCUGCUUUAAUCCUCUAAAGCCUCGGUUUCCUCAUCUGGGAGGUGGAGCCAGUCACGAGCUUUUUCAUCAGAAACUCCUAAUUACCAGAAACUACGUGUGUCCUGCGAUUUGGCCAGCAGCUAAAGAUAACCAUCCUAUUCCCUGAAGCAACUACUGCCACAUCGGAGCCUGCUACAACCCUGCUGAUAAGCUAAUGGGCUU